GACUAAUUAAAUGUACCUAACAUGUGUAUAAUGGGUUACCUAAUUACCAGUAGAGCUUUCAUACAGUGUGGGGUGGCAAUUUCGACACGAUCCAUUACACGAUUCGAAAUCUGUACGGGAAUUUAGUUAGUUCAAUCUGCACGGUUAAAAUUCGAGUAAUUUUUGGAUCAAUCCGCGAAUCAGCUAAAAUACCUAUAUAACCUAUUUAACAAAACGG
rnacentral:lncRNA from 1 species